CAGAGCGAGGGAGAGCCUCUGUCGGCGGAGAGAAGGGACGGCCACCCACCAGCAGGCAGGAGGGUACCGGUUUCUGCCCAUAGAGAGAAAGAGAUGAUCUUGAUGACUGUUCCAUUGACUUCCUCUAUCUCCUGCACCAUUGAGACUCUGAUGCUGAUUUCUAUUCUGUUGCUGUCUCUGAUGCAAGAGUCGACAGUGCUGUGGAUGAAAGUGAGUUGCGUCUGGUAUAAACAUUGGGGCCUGAGAUCUUAGGUUUUGCAGGUGAAGUCCUGGGCCAGGAGGGUGCUGCUGUGGAGGUGGUGCAGCAGGGGUGGAGCACUAAAGAAGGCACAGAAGCCUGGUGCUGGGGGAAGCAUCUGCCCAACCGGCCCUUGUAGUAACUUGGGAUUCAUAGCAGCAAGUAGACUACCAGCAAAUCCAGGGACCCAGGCGAACUGGCUGGGAGACAUACAUCCAGACUGUAGCGGGACACAGCAGAGCUGGCUUGAUGUCCUGUCACUAUAGGGAGCAGGAUAUUGUGGUGGCAUUGGGGGCUGAACAUGGACAGGCGUCAGACACAGAA
rnacentral:lncRNA from 1 species